CCCCUGGUGGCUCAGACGGUAAAGCGUCUGCCUGCAAUGCGGGAGACCUGGGUUCGAUUCCUGGGUCGGGAA
rnacentral:tRNA from 1 species